UUAAAAAUGAACAAGGCCUUUGUUUUUCAUUGAAAAUAAAUUGGACCUUGUUUUAAAGAAAUGCCACCUAAGUUCCUAACAAAAAUAAACCCUAAAUCUAAUUGCAAAUACUUCUACCGCUCCAUUUAAUUGUAGAUCGCUAACCAAAAUAAACCCUAACUCUAAUUGCAAAAUUGCACAGUCGCCCCAUUUCUCUGCAAUUGCAGAUACCUCUAUCGCUCUCUCUCCCUCCCUCUCCCUCUCCCCAGCCAAGCCGUCCUCUUCUUUCUUCUUUACCUUGCAAUUGCCGAUCCACUAUCUCGUACCACAUCUUUACCCUUUAAUUGCAUAUUGAUGUUUAUCGCUCUCAUCCUAGCUAAA
rnacentral:lncRNA from 1 species